rnacentral:lncRNA from 1 species
AAACAUCCAAUUCACUAUCUUUAUAGAUCUUUAGGACACUUGCUUUAUAUUUUUCAUGGAGAAUUCUAUAUUCAAUCAUAUUUUAAUCGAUGUAAGUAUUGGACACUCCUACUGACCCUUUUGGAAACAUGUAGUUCCUCAUAUCUGAUCAAACAAUUUGAUCAUAUCAUCAAAAUGAAUGUUCCAACUGCAAGAUUAUUUCAGACUUUGUGAUCUCAUAUCACGAGAAGUAAAAUUAUGAGCCACUCCAUAUAGAAAUCUUCAAAAGAUAUCUGAUCAGAAAAGCUAAUUCAUAUUCUUUUCUUGGAGUCAAUGUCAAACAUCGCCUCAUAGUAGGUUUUGGGAUCAUCUCUAUGUUCCCAAUCUUCCAUGAGAAAUGAUUUUCUCUACAUCUUCUGUUAAGCAUACCCAAGUACCUUUCAAGAGGAUUGGAUAUCCUACUAUGUGUAUGAGGUGGAGGAGGAAUAUACAUCUACUGGCUCAUCAAGAAUAGAUUCUUUAGGUCUUAUAGCUCGCUGCUCAUCAGAGACACUCUCUUUGAGCUUAACCUUCCUCCCACUGCUUCAUCUUGGUUAAAUAAUUUUUUAAGAAGAUAGCAUGUCAGGUCACAAUCAUAUUAUAAUCCUUUCAGAAGGUAGUAUCCUAAACUCUUUUAGGAUGAGCUUUAUAGACCUAUCCUCUAACAUAUUUGCCCACUGUCUUUGAUACAGAUUGGUCAUCUUUGAAUCUUGAAAUAAUUAAGAUUCAGUCCUCACCAUGUCAUAUCUUAUACGGUGUGAUAGAAACAGAUUUAGAGAGAACCCAAUCCCAUGGAAAUAAAGCAUAUCUCUAAAGAAACAAAAUAAAUCAGUGAAUUACAUCAUGGACCAGAUCAUAUCUCAUAUAGUUCCAUGACUCUUCUUAUCUCGUUGAGCUGAGAUGUACUAAGAGGGAUCCAAUAUAAAACUAUAUCAUUUUAUGAGAUAAUCAAAAAAUUUCUUUCUUUGAUAUUGUAUCCUCGAUCU